CGGAGGAUCCAAGCGUUAUCCGGAUUUAUGGGUUUAAAGGGUGCGUAGGUGGGAUAAUAAGUCAGAGGUGAAAGCUAGCAGCUUAACUGUUAAAUUGCCUUUGAUACUGUUAUUCUUGAGUAUAGUUGGAGUUGGCGGAAUGUGACAUGUAGCGGUGAAAUGCGUAGAUAUGUCACAGAACACCGAUCGCGAAGGCAGCUAACUAAACUAUCACUGACACUGAUGCACGAAAGCGUGGGGAGCAAACAGGAUUAGAUACCCUGGUAGUCCACGCCGUAAACGAUGAUAACUCGACGUUGGCAAUAUACUGUUCAGCGUCCAAGCGAAAGCGUUAAGUUAUCCACCUGGGGAGUACGAUCGCAAGGUUG
rnacentral:rRNA from 1 species